rnacentral:rRNA from 1 species
UACAGAGGUCUCAAGCGUUGUUCGGAUUCAUUGGGCGUAAGGGUGCGUAGGCGGCGCGGUAAGUCGGGUGUGAAAUCUUGGAGCUUAACUCCGAAACUGCAUUCGAUACUGCCGUGCUUGAGGACUGGAGAGGAGACUGGAAUUUACGGUGUAGCGGUGAAAUGCGUAGAUAUCGUAAGGAAGACCAGUGGCGAAGGCGGGUCUCUGGACAGUUCCUGACGCUGAGGCACGAAGGCCAGGGGAGCAAACGGG